GGCCCCCCGCCCAAUUAUUCACGGGGGGUCACACCUGCACAAUGACCUGAGGGUUCAAUUGCCGCGGUAUUCCUGACCGUGCAAAGGUAGCGUAAUAAUUAGCCUAUUAAUUGUUGGCCUGUAUGAAUGGUACGACGCUGGUGGCGCUGUCUCUUCAGCACUUAUUUGAACUUAACUUUUGGGUGAAAAGGCCCAAAUUUUCCUGAAAGACGAUUAGACCCUGUCGAACUUUAGGUAGACUGAGACCAGCAACGCAAGCUGCUGUUUCUUCGAAAACCUUUGGUUGGGGAAACCGGAGGCUAAAAAAAACGCCUCCCCCUCUUUCUAACCGAAACGCCUUGGCUGGGGCGACCCCCAGCCUACUGUGGGGUAUUAAACCUACAAAGGUCCCACAAACACAGAAAGGCACGGCCCCUAGGAGAGUAUCUUUUUUUUCCCUUGAAAAAGUCUGACAAGACAUGAUUAACUAAAAAAAUGAACCUAAAGAUCCUCUUAUAGAGGAAAACUAUUAACUGGGAAGAGUUACCGCAGGGAUAACAGCGUAAUCCCCCCGGCGAGACCACAUUAAGGGGGGGGUUUGCGACCUCGAUGUUGGCUUAGGGCUUCCUGGGAGUGCAGAGGCUCCCAAGGGUUGGUCUGUUCGACCAUUAAAGCCCUACGU
rnacentral:rRNA from 1 species